UUGAGAGGCAGAGUCUGCCAUGGACAUGUGCCCAGGUGCCAGGGGAAGCUCUUGCUAAGCCUGGAGCUGCCUGGAGCUGCCAUUUUAGUGGAAGCUUAGGGGGAGAAGGAAUACAAUUGUUUCUACCAUAAGCCCUUAUAUCUUACGUAGUAGAAUGCAAACUUGACCUGAAUUGUUGAGAAAAAACAAGACACUUCAAGGACACGUGGUUGCCCUUGAUGUUGCUUUAGGUGGUGGCCCCAGGCCCUGGCAGUUUCUCUUCUGCAGUGGGCAUUUUAGUGGAAAAGUGUAAGAUCAGUGGGACACAGAAGCGCUGGGGACAGAAAUAGAGUGUGUAUAUUAGGACUGCUUUGAACCUUAAAGAAAAUAGAGAUGUGUCAUAGACAACUGUAUUGAAUCCAUUCUCCGCAGUGUAGACUGCCCUUUGAUACACGUUCCUCUAAUGAUUCUGGAUGGGAGCUCUGACUACCCCCAUUUUAGAAGAAACUGAGGCUAAAAGAGAUGAGCGACUUACACAAGUCACCCAGCCAAGAGGUGGCCGAGCAGUUUUCCUUAAGCCUAACCCAGGGCUCUUUUGUCCAAAGCCUGGUGCUCACCACUCUGUCCCAUGCCCAUUUCAAACUCCAGGUCUUGCACUCUGCCUGCCCAGAUCCCAGCAGUAAUGAGUGACCUGGGGUCGAGACAUUUCAUUCCCAGGGAAUACUUAUGCAUUUCCCUCAUUUCCCAGCCUCCCUUGCAGUUUGUUUGGGACCAUGUGACCAGUUCUGGCCAAUGGGCUGUGAGAAGUGCCAUGUGUCACUUCCAAGCUAAAGCAUUGAAAAAUUGGUGCAGGGUGACCCAGCUCUCUCUCUCUCUCUCUCUCUCUCUCUGCCACAGGGACCUGGAAGAUAUGUUUUAGGAUGAUGGAGACAGAAGAUGGAAAAGCGUUCGGAUCCUGAAUGGCUGCUCUGGAGAGCCCCUGGGCCCGCUGCAGACUUUGUUUGAAUGUGGAACUUUUUCUUUGUGGCUGAGAUUUGGAGGUUUGCCUAUCCAGAUGAUUAUGUGACCUGUGCCCCACACUCAGUCCCUUGCAGAAUCUGGCUUGCUUCUUUCUUUUAUGGAGGCUGAAGUACAGUGGCAUGAUGGCAUGAUCUCUGCUCACUGCAACCUCCGCCUCCCAGACUCAAGCAAUUCUCGUGCCUCAGCCUCCCGAGUAGCUGGGAUUACAGGCGUGAGCCACCGCGCCUGGCCUACGUUGUGUUGUCUUUAAGGAUUGUUUUGCUUAUUUUGGGUCCCUUGCAAUUUCAUCCAAAUUUUAGAAUCAGCUCGUCAUUUUCUACAAAGAAGUCAGCUGGGAUUCUGACAGGGAUUGCAUUGAAUCGGCAGGUGAACUUGGAGAGUACUGACAUCUCGGUGAUGUAAAGUCUUCCUAUCUAUGAAUAAAGGACUGUUUUUCCAGUUA